CAAACUUCCCAGCAAAAGCAAAUCAAACUGGGAGGGGUGGGGGGAAGGAAGAGAGAGAGAAAUACCUAAACUCUGAUCAGUCCCUGCAGGAAGCAGAGCUGCUCGCCUUCUCCUGGACUGAGACCUCCAGAGCAGCAUGUAGCAGGGAUCCCGUGGGCUGGUGGGAGCUGCUGCAACAGCUACCGAGAAGCGAAGUUUCUCUUUCUCUCUCUUACUUUUUUUUUUUUCCCCCUUCCCGUCUUGCAAAACCCGAGAAAGUUUAGCCUCCUUCCUCAGAUCCCUGCAGCACCUGCGCCUCCCUGGAGAAAUACAUCUCACAGGAGGCUUUUCAGGUGCAGACACCUGAAACAAAACCCCAGCCCAGGGCAAGCCGCUGAGAGGCAGCAACUCAGUGACUUGGGGAGACUUGGUGCAACCCCCCACAACUGCUGCUCUUGGGGCUUUGCUGCCUUUUAACCCCUUGGGUUGGUGGUGGAGCUACUGCCUUGCACAGGGGUCUUUCUACUUACUUGUUAGCAAGUAGGGGGGGGGACCCACCUUCAGUUCAGCCUCUGAAGUAAAAAGGCUGGGGGGAAGAAGGAAUACACUGACCCUGGAGAACACACCUCCCUUGCACCUCGAGAAGGAGGAGAGGAAAACAAGCUCUGUAGCACAGGCUGGAGCAGUGGCCGCGGGACGAGCAGUUGCGCUGGGAUCAACAAGUGCGACCUCCUGGACGUCCCGCUCUGCGCCUCCCGCCCCCCUUCAGCCAGGCUUCAGGCUUUGAAACUUGCUGCUGGAAAGACAUUGCCCCUAUUUAGAGACCUCCCUUCUUGCCCGUUUAUAAAGGAUAUAAUCAUAGUUCACAUCUGCAGGAGAAAUGAUUCCCAAGCCUCGCACCGCCCUGGCUGUUUGUGUCCUACAUGGAUUGCUUUGGCUACAAGGUCUUGCUGAGAAACCAACUGUAUGGGGACCAAAGUUAAGCAUUGACAAAGAUCAGAUUGUAAUCAAAGCAGGAGAUCCCUUCACCAUAACAUGCAGGGGAGCAGCCGCCUUGACCUGGCUGCGAGGAAAUGAACCACACACAGAUGACAACAGAUGGCACGUAUACAGCCAUGCAUGCCGAAGCACCUCACGGGAAAUCUGCAGCACGCUUAACACCAGCAAUGCUAUCGCCAAUGACACCGGUUACUUCACCUGUGGUUACAGCAGCUUCUCUUCUAGUAAAGCCCCAGUGGUCAAGAUAUACGUGUUUGUUAAAGAUAGCAGGAACCCAUUUGUUAAGAUUUUCCAUGAGUAUCCCGACGUGAUCUAUGUACUGAAUGUUACAGAAGUGGUGGUUGUGCCCUGCCGAGUCACUUCACCAGAUAUCAGACCCAAGCUUUUCCAGCAUCCUUUGUCAGAAGAAUUCAGAUAUGAGAAGAUGACCUGGGACCCCAAAAAAGGAUUUGUCAUCCCCUCUCCUCCUUCCCGCUUCUUCAAGGGCCUGCUCAAGUGCAUCGCCACAGUAAAUGGAAAUGUGUUCACAUCCUACUACAUGCCACAGAAAGUGGAGGGUAGAGUACAGAGCCUGGCUCUGAAAGCAACUCCCAGAAGGCUGCUGGUUGGAGAAGCCCUCAAUCUGGAAUGCACCGCAGAGACCUUUGUCAAUGGACGGAUUGAGUUUCAGUGGCAGUAUCCCAAAAGGAGAAAGGAUUAUAAGCCUGUAUCAGCGUUGGACAAAAGUUCAUUGGUGUAUAAAUGCUCCAGCAAUCUGACUAUCCAGAAUGUUACCAUGGAAGACAAAGGCCGCUACAUCUGCCGAGUGGUCAAUGUAACAGGCCUGGAGACCAGUGCAAUGGGGCUGGAAACCAAUGUCACAGUCACAGUGUAUGACAAAGCUUUCCUUCGGGUUUCCUCUAAGAAAAGCCACUACUAUGAAGUGACAGCAGGACACAAGUUACUGAAACUGGCUGUGAAGGUGGAAGCCUUUCCCCGCCCAAAUAUUACCUGGUACAAAGAUGGCAAGCCAAUCAAGGAGAACCAUACUUGCUAUGAACCUGAUCCAAUGAAGUACAAGCUAGGCAUAAGAGAUGUGAGACUGAAGCAUGCUGGUAAUUACACCAUAGUCCUGAGCAAUGCUAAGCAUGGCCUAUAUGAGAACUUCACUCUCCAGCUGGUCGUGACAGAGAGACCGAAAAUCUAUGAAAAGGAGACUGAUUUUGAGAAGGUUGAGCGGGUGGAACUGGGAAGUAAACACAGACUUCAGUGCACUGCAAGUGGCAACCCUGAGCCCGAGAUCCACUGGGAGUGGCAACCAUGCAACCAGACAGGACUUCAAUGCAGACCCCAUCAGCAAAAAAUCAUGGUUCGGGAAAACAUCACUGAGGAAGACAGGUCCAUGGGCAACAAAAUAGAGAGCAUUGAAACCAUGUCUGUCAUACAUGGAGAGAGAAAAAAGAUUGUGAGCACACUGACUACAGAGAGCAGCAGUGCAUCAGGGAUCUAUUACUGUGUGGCUUCAAACAAGAUUGGCACAGAGAAGAGGAGCAUCAAGUUCUAUGUGUCUGAUGUGCCAUUUGGUCUGCAGACAGAGCCCCAGAUCACUGCCAUUGUGGGAAGUGACAUUCAACUGCUUUGCAAAGCCUCCAAGUACAUCUACAACCACCUGGACUGGUAUUACCCCUCCUCAGAGGUUGUCCCCAGUGCCUUUAGAAAUAAGAGCAUUGACAACUACUCCAUCUCCUUGAUGCUGGUCAUUACUAACAUCACACAAGAGCAUGCCGGGUUGUACAAGUGCCAAGCUCAGAAUCAGCAUAAUUCCACUGACAGGCUGGAGCAAACUACCCAGCUUGUUGUCAAAGCAAAGGCCGUGCCAUAUAUUAUUCAAAACUUCACGGACCUGGAGGUUAACAUCAGCGGCAAGAUCGUGCUGGAGUGCAAAGCAAAUGGAACCCCGACACCUCACAUUACGUGGUGGAAAAAUGGCUAUCUCAUUUCACCUGCUUCAGGAAUUUCCAUGGAAAAUAAUACCCUGAUCAUUGAGCGAGUGAAAAAAGAUGAUGAAGGCCUCUACGAGUGCAGGGUUUCUAAUGAAAUGGGCCGUGACAGUACAAUGGCAUUCAUUAAAAUAGAAGGUUCUGAAGAGAAAUCCAAUAUUGAAGUUAUCAUUUUGGUCUGCACUGGUCUAGCAGCUACUCUCUUUUGGCUGCUUCUGACCCUUUUCAUUCGGAAACUUAGAAAACCUGAUGCCACAGAUAUUAAAACAGGAUACCUGUCCAUUAUAAUGGAUCCAGAGGAAAUGCCUCUUGACGAGCAAUGUGAUCGGCUCCCAUACGACAGCAGUAAAUGGGAGUUCCCAAGAGACAGGUUGCGGCUGGGUAAAACACUGGGUCACGGUGCUUUUGGGAAAGUGGUGGAGGCGUCUGCUUUUGGCAUAGAUAAAUCUUCAACCUGCAAAACAGUUGCCGUUAAAAUGCUUAAAGCAGAAUGUGCAACUACUAAUGAGUGCAAAGCUUUAAUGUCGGAACUGAAGAUCCUCAUCCACAUAGGACACCACCUCAACGUGGUCAACCUCCUGGGCGCCUGCACCAAAGCAGGAGGUCCAUUGAUGGUUAUAGUUGAAUAUUGCAAGUAUGGAAAUCUGUCCAAUUACUUAAGAGGCAAACGUGGGGAUUUCAUUGCAUGCAAGUCCCAGGAAAACUCUGACCAAGGAGAGAAGAGUCUGGAUGAGUCCAACAGUGAUUUAACAGAGCUGAUCAAGAGACGCCUUGAGAGUGUAGCCAGCACAGGAAGCUCUGCUAGCUCAGGGUUCAUUGAAGACAAGAGUUACAGUGACUCUGAGGAGGAUGAAGAGGAUACUGAGGAUCUGUACAAGCGACCUCUGACCUUGGAGGAUCUGAUUUGCUAUAGUUUCCAAGUGGCAAAAGGCAUGGAAUUCCUGGCCUCCCGAAAAUGCAUUCAUCGGGACUUGGCAGCAAGGAACAUCCUUUUGUCUGAAAACAAUGUAGUUAAGAUCUGUGACUUUGGCCUAGCACGGGACAUUUACAAAGAUCCUGACUACGUCCGGAAAGGAGAUGCAAGACUUCCUCUUAAAUGGAUGGCUCCAGAAGCUAUUUUUGAUAAGAUUUAUACAACCCAGAGUGACGUAUGGUCUUUUGGAGUGUUACUGUGGGAAAUAUUCUCACUGGGUGCUUCACCAUACCCAGGGGUGCAGAUUGAUGAGGAUUUUUGCCGCCGCCUCAAAGAAGGAACUCGGAUGAGAUCGCCAGAGUAUUCUACCCCAGAAAUUUAUCGAACUAUGCUGGACUGUUGGCAUGGAGUACCCACGGAGAGGCCCACCUUCACAGAACUGGUUGAACGCUUAGGAGACCUCCUCCAGGCAAAUGUCCGCAGGAUGGCAAAGACUAUAUUCCACUGAACAUCACAUUAUGCCCUGAUGGAGAAUCUAACCCCAAAACCUGCCCAGUGGAAGACAAUUUGAGCAGCCGCAUUAACCGCUGGAGUGCAGUGGAAGCAAGUAUUAACAGUAAGAAGCGACCACUCAGUGUGAAGACAUUUGAUGAGGUGCCAGUGGAGAAGGAGAAAGUCAUGCAUGAGGAAAGUGAGUCGGACAGCGGGAUGGUGCUGACUUCUGAUGAGAUGAAAAGCCUGAAGAGGCUGGAAAUCCGCUCCUGGCCCUACGGGAUUAUGGCUCUGGCCCUGGAUAAUAAUUAAUUCAUCAGCCUUAGAACUGGAUGCAUCAGGUGUCCAACAAGAAGUGGUCUCAUGCUUUCGUCAUAUCAAAGAGGAGCAAAGACUCUGACCUAGCAUUGGCUUGUUUGUACAUAUGUGGAACAUAUAGCAUAGAAGCAAAAGGACUGAGGAUGCAUUUAGACUAUGUUUGGUUUAUCCUGUCUGCCUCUUUUUGAAGUUCCUACUGAGGGGUGGAACAAUUUCAAGAAAUAAGAAAACUUUAUCAAUCCAGAGACUAGUAGAGGAAGAGCCCACCUGUAUCGAUACAUACCAGACAUGCGUCAGCCUAUUUCCAACAUAAUGGGCAAGAGGGACUUUCCAGGUGAAUAGCAGAGGAAGAACUUAAGAUGAUGGGAUAGGUACUAAAAGGCUUGUAGGCAUCCAGAAGAUCUCUAAACUUUCUUUUGUAUAACUUCUAUGAUUUCCUUCUCUCUAACUUCUGACAGCCCCUCUCUGCCUGACCCCUUCCUACCCUCAAUGGACGUCCAACACUUCUUAACGCUCUCUCCAGUCUGAGGAACCAAUUGAUCCACCUUUUCAGGAAUUGUGCCAAUGCUGAGUUUGUGCUUAGUCAUAGAUAGCACAGGCCACCAAAACAGAUCACAGCAAAAUACAGUCAUCAGAAAGCAAAUGGAGCUUGGCUUCCAGAGUUUCAUGUUCUUUUAGCAAUCUGUAAAGAACAAUCAGACAAUGGCAGAAAGAGGGAGAUGGCUUUGAUGAUGGAGUGUGUCUUUUCCAUGUGUAUCCUUACAGAAAGAUCCUCUAAAACAUACUAAAAAACAGUAACCCUUUUAUAGGGGUUCUGGGAUCAACCUGUAAAAUCUCAUGGAGAUUACUGGCCCAAAACUCUUCAAAAAACUUUACAGGAAAGACCUCCAAUUCGGCUAACUAUAUUUUUAGAGUUCUUUCUUUCUCAAAGGUUUUUUUCUCUGUAGUAUCCAAGACAGAUAUAGUUCUAUUGGCUUCCACCCUAUUAAAUUCACUAUGGAUUUUCGCAAGGGUAAUUGCUAUCAUUCUUGACAGAACACACUGAACUUUUUGUUGAAGAGUGGUAUCUUGGAAGAAGAUUGCACUGAACAGUGUUUUAACACUGUGCACAGUCAGUACUUGAGAAGGGCUAUCUGUUUCUGACAGGCAGGGAGAGGAAAGAUGGGAGGUCGACUUCAUCUCUAUGAAUUCCUACAGUUUUUGGAGUACAUUCAAUAUGCAGUAUUCAGUGACAAAAGCUAGAGAUCAGACUCAUGUUGGCCUUGUUGCAGGAGGGUGCAGCUUUCAAAUUCCACCUAGUCUAUAGAAACGGAGUAUGUUUCUGGGAGCAGUGUUUCCAAUAAAAUCCCCUCAGCAAGGCAGUUUACAUUCACUGCCCCCGUACUAGAAAAACAGAGAUCCACCAAGAUCUGUAUCACUCCUCCAUCGUGUAUGAAACUUACCCUCUGUGCAUUCCUGUGUAGAGAUACUCGACUUCAUGAAGGUACCACAUGCAGUAUAGUUGCAUUAACACAGCAGUCUGCUAGAACUGAUUUACCCUGCUUCUGUACAUUGGGCCAUGUAUACAUAUCCUGAGCCACAAGUACAUAAUUGCUCUAGGGACAGAUGAACUGAAAAUAAAAAUAAAAUAAUCUUCCUGUGGAUAUUCGUUCAUUCUUAAGAUUUUAAAAAAUCACAUUUGAAGCAUCUAUUUUCCCCCUUCUGAGAUUCAGAAGAGUUGGACUAAGUAGUUUCUGGGUUGUUUUUCAACUCCCCCUCCCUCUUCAAGUUUUUAGCGAGAACCAAAAGACCAAAUUCCCACCAGACAGGGGAUCUAAUGGCAUUUCCAUCCAGAAGCAGAAAUGUAGACGUUCCAUGACAUAGCCUGCUCUUUUGACAUUUCAAUCCCAGCUCUGCAAAGGAUAAAGCCUCAAAUAAACCUGAGCUGGACAUUGGGAGUUUAGCUCAGAGUUUAAAUUGGCGGAGCUCCACUGACUUCAGUGAAGUUAUGCCAUGAUUUACAUCCAUUAAGCCUGCUAAAUUCAAAUGUCCUUUGCUAUUCCACUCCCUGCUAUGCACCUGGCUCUUCCUGGGGCAGUCAGUCCACCAAAGGGCAUCUGCCUAGAAAUGUAAUGUAGGCACAAGCCCUGGAGAAACAAUGUCCAUCUCAUUCUUUUUCCCAGGACCUUAGUGACUACAGGGUAGAACAGGGGUGUGUUUUUACUUGGUCAGUUUUUCCACUCAGUGUUUGAGGUCCAGCUGAGCAGUUGGCUUCCUUUUUAAAUGAUCUUGCAGAAUUUCUGUGGCCCAAGAACAUAUUUAUUUAAAUAUUAAUUGCAGAGAGUCUUGCUAUCCUUUCUGUUGAGGACAUGUCAUCCCUUGGCCUCCCCCACCCGUAACUUGAAAAACAACCCCAAGAAACAUAUGUGAUAGUCUCUAAAUGGCUGGAGAGGUCAGAAAAGAGUGUUGGUUUAGCAGGGGAGAUAAAGUCACCCUUGUUAAUUGUAUAUCUCUGUCUAUCAAAAACAUUUACCCUGGACCUGUUUCAAACAGUCGUUUUCUUCUUACACAAAACCUUUCAAAGGCUUAGCGUGUUUUCUAAACCAGGGUGGCUGAGUUUAUUAUUUUUCGCCAAAAUCUCGCUGUUUAUUUAUCUUGCAUUUGCUUUCUCCAUUGAGUUUAAAAGUUGGCAACACUACACACCAGCGAAUGCCGGUGUCAAGAGUUUACUGAAGAUGAAUCCGAUACCCUGGGACUGGGAGUUCUAUUAGACAAGUAAUAACCAUUUUUGAAGUCAAAGCAUUAUACGCUGCCAUAGCAAGGAGAGAGAACAGAGGCACCAUGGUGGAAUUAGAGUCCUACAAAGUGUAUGGGAGAUGCAAUGUGGGACAUAACAGUGAGUACUCCAGUGUCAGGUUCCAUCUUGUAAUGUUAACAGGCCACUACAAAGCCAAGUUUUAAACUCCUCAUGGAGAAUCUCUAAUCAAGUUACUAUUUAAUAUCUAUAAUAGGUUUGGCAUUCUUUUUCUUGUCUGACUUAAUGAUGCUUAGCUGAUCUCCAAUUAUUUGGCUAAUUUUGGCUGAGUGCCCUGACCCCAGCUGACUGGGGCUCAGCAGAUGUGCCACAGGCUCCAUGAUGCUGCAUUGGGAUUGUGUUGCUGAGAGCCAUCCACUUGGGUCUAAGGAAACCUAGGUGCACAAGAGUGAAAGCAAGACAAUUGCACUUAGCAGCAUCAGGCAUUCCAGUUCAAAUACAAAGUGUCUGGGGAAAAUACAGGGAAUACUAGCUGCUAGAGAAAUAGCUAUACAACUCGCAUCUUCAUAAUGCAAGUUUACCUGUGGGUUCUUCUGUGCUAUACAUGCACCCAGGGAAAAUGGAUCAGCAUUCCUCAGCCUCCUAUUUCCAUAUGAAUGGGGUUUGGAGAUAAAGUCUCCAUACACAUACUCAAAUGAUCUGGGAGAAUUCCCCUGGUUUUGUUUUUCUGGUAGAAAAACCUACCCAGAGACCCUGGAACAGACAUUUGAAUGGUGAGCCCCUGAAGAGCAAAGUAUUCACACUGUGAUGCUGCAUAGCCAGUGGGCCUUGUGUACACAUCUCAGAGUACUCUGCAGGCUCCCUCAGUCUACCUAGAGACAGAUGGCAGCAGUGCACAGGGAAGCCCUGAUUGGUUGACCCAGACUGUUCAGAGUCAGCCUGUGGCUCCCUACAGUACAAUGUGGUGAUUGUGAAGGGGCAUGUUCUGCUCCCCACUCAGCUGGAGCAGUAGAGUCCAACCCAGGCAACACACUGUCUCUUGGCAGGAGAGGGGAGCAAUGUACCCUGGGAUUCUGGAGAACUGUGCUGUGGCUUCUCUUAGAAGGGAAUGUGUACAGACAUUUGAUCUCCUAGGGAAAACUUUCCCAGGAUUGAAUUACCCCUAGUUGUUCCCAGGUUAUUUUUCUCCUGGAGUGGCUAUUUUUGCUCUGGAAGAAAAAUUCUGAACAUCUGUACAAUCAUGUUUUCUCCUGGGAGGAUGGAAGACAUUCUUUUUUGUUGCUAGCCACCUUGGACUAGUGACAUUUACCUCUAUGAUUCUGUACCAGAGGUAGCUAGAUUAGAACUACCCCAAAUUUAAGGCAUUCAAGCAUUAGUAACCAGCUUCUGAAAAUCUUGUGCAAGUAACUUUCCAGGGUCACGCAGUGAUGCAAUGACAAGACCCCAGAUGAGAAAAGGAAUUCUUGGUCUCCAAGCUCAUUCUUUCAGGCUCUCUGUGUCUCAGUCCGCUGUUUCAUGUGUUUAUUGGGAAUUGCCCAUUGCUGGUAGUGCUGCAGUUUUCUGCCAGAGCCUUUAAUUUGGCUUGGCUGCAUAUCUGAGAUGUUUGGUCCGAAGUUAUCACUGCUGUCAGCAGGAACAAGUCCACUGAAGCCCUAAGAGUUGCAGUCACUUACUCCCAUGGUAGACUAGUCCUGAUUGUGAAUUGAAUUUAGCUUUGUUUUGUGUUUAGAAGUGUUUCAAAGCAAAAAGAUCUUUUGACCCUAACUUUUGAGGUCCCUGUGUCAGCAGACACUGAGAUGCAUUGAGCUUGCCAGAAAGCAAUAUUGGCUUCUUACUUUCCUGUAUUCCUUGCCAAUUCACUGAGGCAAACAGAAUUACACUCGUAACUAUUAGAAAAAAGCCAGGCUUAGUAUGUAAUAUUUCAUUGGGGGGAAAAUACAGUAGCUUUAAUCACUCUUACUCUGAAAAAGUGCCUCAUUAAACACCUCGUGAAAGCUGUUCUGAAGCCCUGAAGCUCACUUUCCCUUCCUGUUACAAGAUGUAGGCAUAAGGCAUAAAUUGCUGUACUUGACACUGCAGAACCCAGUUGCUCAUUUCUUACAUGCAGCUUUUUAAAUGCAGCCUCUGAACAUGUCCCAGCUUUUUAAAUGACUCCAGACACCUGUCUGUUCCCCUCUGCUUCGGGCAAGGUGGCUGGGCAGCAGUGUGGGGAUGGCGUUCUGUCUUGCACUUCAGAACUCACUGAUCAGAGCAGAACUGCCUCCGCUCCUGUUUCCCUCCCCUAAGACAUAUGCUUACAGUCAUCACUCCACUUGCACAUUCCUCUUCAUGUCAUCUGACACUGACUUUUAAGCCGUUGGAAACUAGCUCCCUUAUACAGAAAAAUAAACAGCCCCAGCAAUGAGUUCCCAGUUCUUGGGGUGUUGAUUUUGAUGUUUCUCUUACUGUAAGCCAAAAAUCAAUGAUUAAUGGAGUGAGAUGGAAAAGACCAAUUAUGUCAUCCAGUCUGUUUCCUUCUAACUGAUUCAAAUUAUCCCUUCCAGCAUCUUCUGCCUAGCUUCUACUCCCUCUCCAGGGUAGUCAUUCCGGCAGUCUAUAUGUAUUUCCUGAUACUUAACCUAUUUUUUCCUUUGCUGGUCUCAAGGCCUGUCUGUAUCAUGCUGCGAGACCUGGGCAAAACACUUGAAGAAUUUGAAAAUGGCAUGGUGGGACUUCACUGUAGAUGUAACCAGGUCUCAUUACCAGGCUAGAAUUCUCUGUCUUUAGCCAGAUCACAUGGCCCAUUAGCAAUGUUCAUGCUGAUCCAUGCCACGGAUUUUAACUGUACUGUAACUGGGACAGGCAGACAUGUGUUGGUAGCUACUCUAAUUCAAGUUUAUAGACUAAACAGGCCUUUGAGUAUACUGACUUGGUCCUUACCAAUCAAUCCCUCAACCUCCUGUGGCAUUUACAUCUGAUGUAUAGGUUCAGAGCUGGGGGCACUAUAGAACGAAAGCCAAAGACAUUUGUAGAUUAUCAUUAUAUCCCUGUUAGUCACCAGUUAGCCAGGCUCAGACUGAUUCUUUUCAUUCCCUCACUAGUUAAUCCUGCCAACACCUCAGUCAUUUUUUAGUUCUGUUUUCAAAUUUCCCUCGUUUGCAGCCAUAGUAUUGGUGCACACUAAAUAUUAUUGGAAAAAUCUAUUUUAAUGUGCAAACUGCAGUGUUCAGACCCCCCUAAGAAGGGUACAAGGUCAUGUGGAAACUAAUUCAAGAAUUUCUGAAUUAUUAUCACUGCCUUGGAACAAUUUCUCAAUGUAUUUUAGGUCUCUCUCUCUGUCUCUGUCUGUCUGUCUCUCUUUCUCCACAAUUUCAAGUGAUAACACGAGUUACGCAGGAAUUAAUGGAGACAUGAAUAAUUAUGAAGGGUGUUGUGACAUUGAUCAGUGCCUCCUUUCUACCUUUUCCCAUCACAUGUGACCAACAGAUUAUUUGAAAAUGAAGGUUAGUGAAAGAAGAAUCAAUACAGGGAAUAUUUAUUUAGAUAGCAUACAGUCAACUUGGGAAUUCAUUGAGUCAAAUAUUAUGGCUGGAUUUUAAAUAGGAUUAGGUCACAAUACAAUUAUUAACUUUUGUAGCUCUGUAACACCAUGAGUAAUAAAAUCUUGUGUUUGGGGCCAUAAACUAUUUACCUGUGGGGCUCAGGAUUGUUUCUCCUAAUGUGCAGUAUUACAGCAGUUGGCUUUGAAUGCAGUACUAAGGGAGGGGUUGCUUUCAUUUGAAGCACUGAGUACUAGUUGCUGUUGAAGGGAGGAUACCAAAGUAGAUGGACCAGUGAUACUUGACACAGUGUGGAUGUAUCUGUAGCAAAUGAGAUUACAAGUCAGGACAAGAAGGCCCUAGCCUUGCCUUCUGAUAUAUCCUCCAAACAUAUGAUCU